rnacentral:rRNA from 1 species
CAUGCAGGCGGUUAUGCAAGCAGGAUGUGAAACCCCCGGGCUUAACCUGGGAACUGCAUUCUGAACUACAUGACUAGAGUAUUGCAGGGGGAGACGGAAUUCCAGGUGUAGCGGUGGAAUGCGUAGAUAUCUGGAAGAACACCAAAGGCGAAGGCAGUCUCCUGGGCAAAUACUGACGCUCAUAUGCGAAAGCUGGUAGCAAAC